rnacentral:rRNA from 1 species
AUUGAACGCUGGCGGCAGGCCUAACACAUGCAAGUCGAACGAGGGGCGGACGGGUGAGUAAUGUCUGGGAAACUGCCUGCUGGAGGGGGAUCACUCAUGGACACGUUCGCUUAUACCGCCUAACAUCGGGUGUGCCCAGAUGGGAUUAGAUAGGAGGUGGGGUAAAGGCUCACAUAGGCGACGAUCCCUAGCUGGUCUGAGAGGAUGACCAGCCAGACUGGAACUGAGACACGGUCCAGACUCCUACGGGAGGCAGCAGUGGGGAAUAUUGAACAAUGGGCGCAAGCCUGAUGCAGCCAUGCCGCGUGUAUGAAGAAGGCCUUCGGGUUGUAAAGUACUUUCAGCGGGGAGGCGUUACCCGCAGAAGAAGCACCGGCUAACUCCGUGCCAGCAGCCGCGGUAAUAC